rnacentral:rRNA from 1 species
CUUUGGGAUAACCCUCGGAAACGGGGGCUAAUACCGGAUAUGACCGCUGCCCGCAUGGGUGGUGGUGGAAAGAUUUUUCGGCUGAGGUUGGACUCGCGGCCUAUCAGCUUGUUGGUGGGGUGAUGGCCUACCAAGGCGACGACGGGUAGCCGGCCCGAGAGGGCGACCGGCCACACUGGGACUGAGACACGGCCCAGACUCCUACGGGAGGCAGCAGUGGGGAAUAUUGCACAAUGGGCGGAAGCCUGAUGCAGCGACGCCGCGUGAGGGAUGAAGGCCUUCGGGUUGUAAACCUCUUUCAGCAGGGACGAAGCGUAAGUGACGGUACCUGCAGAAGAAGCGCCGGCCAACUGCGUGCCAGCAGCCGCGGUAAGACGUAGGGCGCGAGCGUUGUCCGGAUUUAUUGGGCGUAAAGAGCUCGUAGGCGGCUUGUUGUGUCGACCGUGAAAACCCGGGGCUCAACUUCGGGCUUGCGGUCGAUACGGGCGGGCUAGAGUUCGGUAGGGGAGACUGGAAUUCCUGGUGUAGCGGUGAAAUGCGCAGAUAUCAGGAGGAACACCGGUGGCGAAGGCGGGUCUCUGGGCCGAUACUGACGCUGAGGAGCGAAAGCGUGGGGAGCGGACAAGAUUAGAUACCCUGGUAGUCCACGCUGUAAACGUUGGGCGC